rnacentral:rRNA from 1 species
CCUACGGGUGGCUGCAGUGAGGAAUAUUGGUCAAUGGGCGCGAGCCUGAACCAGCUAAGUAGCGUGUAGGAUGACUGCCCUACGGGUUGUAAACUUCUUUUAUAAAAGAAUAAAGUGAGUCACGUAUGCAUUGCUGUGUGGACUUUACUAAUAAGGUUCGGCUCACUCAGUUACAGCAGCCGCGGUAAUACGGAGGAUCCGAGCGUUAUCCGGAUUGAUUGGGGUUAAAGGGAAUGUAGAUGGCUGGUUAAGUCAGUUGUGAAGGUUUGCGGCUGAACCGUAAAAUUGCAAUUGAUACUGGCAGGCUUGAGUACAGUAGAGGUAGGCGGAAUUCGUGGUGUAGCAGUGAAAUGCUUAGAUAUCACGAAGAACCCCGAUUGCGAAGGCAGCUUACUAAACUGUGACUGACAUUGAUACUCGAAAGCGUGGGUAGCAAACAAGAUUAGAUACCCGAGUAGUC